CCCCCCAGCAGCCCAGAGGACCUCAGCCCAACUGAGGCCAAACCGCUGCACCAAAGACUGAGACCCCGGCCCAAACCCAGCGCUCCCGGCGAGGCCCACUUUGUCUGAACCGUGAUGUCAUUGCACACAGCUGGGGACACAGAAAACAACAACAACAGCCAGCAACAGCAUUGGCCAAGACUUCCAAUGAUAAUGGUCACGUUCCUGCCCGACGACAUUGCAGACGUGUGCCAGAUCUCACCACGCCUGAAAUAGGUACUGUCAGCUAUAACCGCGUCAUACGAUAUAGCCGUCCGGUGCCCAACUGCACAGUCCGUGACGUGGCACACCACCAUAGGCAGGCAUUACUUUACAUCAACCAAUCUCUUUCCUCCCUUUGCGUGGCUCUAGGGAAACAGGGGUGAUUGUUGGUGGGGGGAAAUCCCAACAGUGGCAGUCUUGAAUUACUGUUGACGUCUGUAAGCAGGAAGUCUCCCCACUGUGGAUGCUGUCAUAUUGCCGUGUCUCCUUCUACAGACCAAAUAAAACAGUUUUUACAUAUGUGUGUCUGUAAAUCAUUUCUACAGUGUGUAUCUCUGUGCCAGAUUGUAUAUUGGGAAAAUAACUAUUAUUUUGAUGUCAGAAGGAGUGUGAAAGGUAGACCAGGAAAGUGUUACCUACAUGUGUUUUAAUAUAUUAUAGUGUCGGGCCAGUAACCGAAAGGUUGCUGGAUCGAAUCCCCGAGAUGACAAGGUAAAAAUCGCCUCUGAACAAGGCAGUUAUAACCCACUGUUCCCCGGGCGCCGAAGACGUGGAUGUCGAUUAUGGCAGCCCCCCGGCACCUCUCUGAUUCAAAUGUGGAAGACACACUUCAGUUGAAUGCAUUCAGUUGUACAACUGACAAGGUAUUCCCUCCUUUCUACGUUCUAUGAUGAAGUCAGAACAAACAGACGCAGAGGCUGGUCCAUCCUAAUCCAAUAUACUUCUCAAAGCACUAUACAGAAUCCCACCAUCUGUAAUUCAUUGAAUUCUGUGUCAAUAUUGUGUGAUGUCCUGGUCAACACUGAACUGUUACAUCUGAUGUCCUGGUCAACACUGAACUG
rnacentral:lncRNA from 13 species